CCUACGGGUGACAGCAGUGGGGAAUAUUGGGCAAUGGAGGAAACUCUGACCCAGCAAUGCCGCGUGAAUGAAGAAGGUCUUCGGAUUGGAAAGUUCUUUAGACAGGGAAGAAGACAAUGACGGGACCGGAAGAAUAAGCGCAGGCUAACUACGUGCCAGCAGCCGCGGUAAGACGUAGGGAGCAAGCGUUGUGCGGAAUGACUGGGCGUAAAGGGUGCGGAGGCGGUUGUACAAGGUAGAAGUGAAAUACCCAGGGCUGAACUCGGGUGCUGCUUCGAAAACUGUCUGACUUGAGUGCAGUCGACGUUAGUGGAAUUCCUAGUGUAGCGGUGGAAUGCUUAGAUAUUAGGAG
rnacentral:rRNA from 1 species